AAAACAACAGUGAUUCCGUCAGUAGCGGCGAGCGAACGCGGAACAGCCUAAACCGUUGGGGCAUGCCCCAGCGGGGUCGUGGGAUCGAAGUUAGGAGUUACAAAGGUUCAGGUUAGUCGAACGGUCUGGAAAGUCCGGCCAGAGCGCGUGAUAGCCGCGUAGACGAAAACUUAGAACCCUCCGUUAUGCUUCGACACCCGAGUAAUGCGGGACACGAGGAAUCCUGCAUGAAUUCGCCGGGACCAUCCGGUAAGGCUAAAUACUCCGAAGUGACCGAUAGUGAACCAGUACCGUGAGGGAAAGGUGAAAAGAACCCCGGUGAGGGGAGUGAAAUAGUACCUGAAACCGUUUGCUUACAAGCAGUGGGAGGCCAAGGUUCGUCCUGGCUGACCGCGUGCCUUUUGCAUAAUGAGCCGGCUAGUGAAUGUCACAGGCAAGGUUAAGGCGUAUGCCGGAGCCGAAGCGAAAGCGAGUCUUAAUAGGGCGUUUAGUCUGUGGUAUUCGGACGUGAAGCGAGAUGAUCUAGGCAUGGCCAGGCUGAAGCGUGGGUAACACCACGUGGAGGGCCGAACCAGUUUGGGUUGAAAACCAUUUGGAUGAGCUGUGCAUAGGGGUGAAAGGCUAAUCAAAUUUCGUGAUAGCUCGUUCUCGCCGAAAUAGCUUUAGGGCUAGCCUCGGAUGAAUCGUCGCGGUGGUAGAGCACUGAAUGGGCUAGGGGCCUCACAAGGUUACCGAACCCAAUCAAACUCUGAAUGCCGUAAACGUAUAUCCGGGAGUCAGACUACGGGGGCUAAGCUCCGUGGUCGAGAGGGAAACAGCCCAGACCGACAACUAAGGUCCCAAAAUCGUGGUUAAGUGGAAAAGGAAGUGGGGAAGCACUGACAGCCAGGAGGUUGGCUUAGAAGCAGCCAUCCUUUAAAGAAAGCGUAAUAGCUCACUGGUCAAGCAGCCCUGCGCCGACAAUAUAACGGGGCUCAAACGACGUACCGAAGUUUCGGAUUGUGAGGUCUUCGGAUCUCACGAUGGUAGGCGAGCAUUCUGUAGCUGUGAAGCGGGACCGUAAGGACCGUUGGAGCGAUCAGAAAAGACUCUGUCGGCAUAAGUAGCGAUAACGCGGGUGAGAACCCCGCGCGCCGUAAACCUAAGGUUUCCUGAGUAAAGUUAAUCUGCUCAGGGUUAGUCGGUACCUAAGGCGAGGCCGAAAGGCGUAGUCGAUGGAAAUCCGGUUAAUAUUCCGGAACCACUAACGUGUGCUGUGGGAGGACGCAGUAGGGUAGGCGAGACGGCCGAUGGAUGUGCCGUUGAACUCACCAUAUCCCGUCGCUUUGGCAAAUCCGGGCGACAUCAGGGUAAAGGUAGGGACGAAAGUAGGGGUAAAACCCGAAAAAAGUCGCUGACCCCAGCUGCCAAGAAAAUUCUCGUUCAGCUAUACACGCGACGUGACCGUACCGCAAACCGACACAGGUAGGUGGGGUGAGAAUCCUAAGGCGCUUGUGAGAACUCUCGUUCAGGAACUCGGCAAACUGACCCCGUAACUUCGGGAGAAGGGGUGCCGUCCUCCGGGACGGUCGCAGAGAAAUGUCCCAGGCGACUGUUUACUAAAAACACAGGUCUCCGCAAAGUCGUGAAGACGACGUAUGGGGGCUGACGCCUGCCCAAUGCUGGAAGGUUAAGAGGAGUGGUUAGCCGCAAGGCGAAGCUGCGAAUCGAAGCCCCAGUGAAUGGCGGCCGUAACUAUAACGGUCCUAAGGUAGCGAAAUUCCUUGUCGGGUAAGUUCCGACCUGCACGAAUGGCGUAACGAUCUGGGAGCUGUCUUAACGAGUGGCACAGCGAACUUGUAGUACCGGUGAAGAUGCCGGUUUCCCGCAUCUAGACGGAAAGACCCCGUGCACCUUUACUACAACUUGAUAGUGGGUUCGGGCAAACGAUGCGCAGGAUAGGUGGGAGGCUAUGAACCGAGGCUUUUGGGCUUCGGGGAGCCAACGGUGAGAUACCACCCUUCGUUUGUCUGGACUCUAACCUAG
rnacentral:rRNA from 1 species